CCCCUAAUUACCCCCAUUAAUUACCCCCCCAUUAACACCCCCCAUUAAUUACCCCCCCCCCCAUAUCCAGACAUUGACGAGUGCUCGGUGCCUCCCCCCCCCUGCCGCGGCUCCAUGCGCUGCCUCAACCACUACGGGGGGUUCCUGUGUCUGCCCCGAUCCGCCGCCCUCAUCCGGGGACCCCCGCCCCCUCCCCAAUUAACCCCUCCCCAUUCAUUAACCCCAUCCCAUUCAUUAACCCCGCCCCAUUCAGCCCCAUCCCAUUCACUAACCCCGCCCCAUUCCCACGCCCCGCCCCCUCCCCAUUCACUAACCCCGCCCCGUUCCCACGCCCCGCCCCCUCCCCAUUCAUACUCCCCGCCCCUUCACUACGCCCCGCCCACCGACGGCCGCUGCCCUUCCGGUUAUAGCCCCGCCCCCGACGGCACGUGUCAAGAUGUGGAUGAAUGUGAGGGUCCCCCCCCUGCCGGUCCCAGCCAGGAAUGUACUCAAACCAGCCGGGGGGAUUCGAGUGUCGCUGCCCCCCCGGAUACCGGCACCUCAACACCGAGUGUGUGGGUCAGUGCGCGGGGCUAUGGGCUGGGGGGAUAUGGGGGGUAUGGGGGCUAUGGGGCGGGGGGGCAUCAGAAGGGGGCUAUGGGGUGGCUAUGGGGUGGCUAUGGGGAGUCGUGAUGGGGGGUUUAAGGGGCUUAUGGGGUUAUGGGGCAGGGGGGGCAAUCAGAGGGGGUUAUGGGUGUGGCUAUGUGGGGUGUUAUGGGGGUUAUGGAGGGGUUAGGGGGCUAUGGGGGGCUAUGGGGCAGGGGGGCAUGCAGAGGGAGCUUAGGGUGCUGCCGGCUGGGCAUUUAUGGGGGGCUAUCUGGGUGGCGUAGGGUGGCAUAUUAUGGAGGGCUAUUGGGGCAGGGGGGCAUCAAGAGGGGGGUUAUGGGGUGUCUAUGGGGCUGUUAUGGGGUCUAAUGGGGUGGCUUUGGGGGGUUAUAGCGGGCGCAUGGGGCUGGGGGGCAUCAAGGAAGGGGGCUAUGGGGUGCUAUGGGGGGGCUACUGGGG
rnacentral:lncRNA from 1 species